rnacentral:tRNA from 4 species
GGUCGUUUAGCUCAGCUGGGAGAGCAUCUCCCUUACAAGGAGGGGGUCACUGGUUCGAGCCCAGUAACGACCACCA